GCGGACGUGGCCAAGUGGAUUAAGGCAGUGGUUUGUGGAGCCACUAUGCGCGGGUUCAAUUCCCGGUCGUUCA
rnacentral:tRNA from 1 species